CCUACGGGGGGCUGCAGUGGGGAAUAUUGGACAAUGGGCGAAAGCCUGAUCCAGCCAUGCCGCGUGUGUGAAGAAGGCCUUCGGGUUGUAAAGCACUUUCAGUGGGGAAGAAAGCCUUGGGGCUAAUACCCUCGAGGAAGGACAUCACCCACAGAAGAAGCACCGGUUAACUCCGUGCCAGCAGCCGCGGUAAUACGGAGGGUGCGAGCGUUAAUCGGAAUUACUGGGCGUAAAGCGCGCGUAGGCGGUCUGAUAAGCCGGUUGUGAAAGCCCCGGGCUCAACCUGGGAACGGCAUCCGGAACUGUCAGGCUAGAGUGCAGGAGAGGAAGGUAGAAUUCCCGGUGUAGCGGUGAAAUGCGUAGAGAUCGGGAGGAAUACCAGUGGCGAAGGCGGCCUUCUGGACUGACACUGACGCUGAGGUGCGAAAGCGUGGGUAGCAAACAGGAUUAGAUACCCGAGUAGUC
rnacentral:rRNA from 1 species